rnacentral:rRNA from 1 species
UACGAAGGGGGCUAGCGUUGCUCGGAAUCACUGGGCGUAAAGGGUGCGUAGGCGGGUCUUUAAGUCAGGGGUGAAAUCCUGGAGCUCAACUCCAGAACUGCCUUGAUACUGAAGAUCUUGAGUUCGGGAGAGGUGAGUGGAACUGCGAGUGUAGAGGUGAAAAUUCGUAGAUAUUCGCAAGAACACCAGUGGCGAAGGCGGCUCACUGGCCCGGUACUGACGCUGAGGUGCGAAAGCGUGGGAGCA